rnacentral:rRNA from 1 species
GCCCCCGGGGUAAGGGGCCAAGCGGCGGGCUAUCAUGCAAGUCGAGCGGACAGAAGGGAGCUUGCUCCCGGAUGUUAGCGGCGGACGGGUGAGUAACACGGUGGGUAACCUGCCUGUAAGACUGGGAUAACUCCGGGAAACCGGAGCUAAUACCGGAUAGUUCCUUGAACCGCAGGGUUCAAGGAUGAAAGACGGUUUCGGCUGUCACUUACAGAUGGACCCGCGGCGCAUUAGCUAGUUGGUGAGGUAACGGCUCACCAAGGCGACGAUGCGUAGCCAACCUGAGAGGGUGAUCGGCCACACUGGGACUGAGACACGGCCCAUACUCCUACGGGAGGCAGCAAUAAGGAAUCUUCCGCAAUGGACGAAAGUCUGACGGAGCAACGCCGCGUGAGUGAUGAAGGUUUUCGGAUCGUAAAGCUCUGUUGUUAAGGAAGAACAAGUGCAAAAGUAACUGCUUGCACCUUGACGGUACCUAACCAGAAAGCCACGGCCUAACUACGUGCCAGCAGCCGCGGUAAUACGUAGGUGGCAAGCGUUGUCCGGAAUUAUUGGGCGUAAAGGGCUCGCAUGCGGUUUCUUAAGUCUGAUGUGAAAGCCCCCGGCUCAACCGGGGAGGGUCAUUGGAAACUGGGAAACUUGAGUGCAGAAGAGGAGAGUGGAAUUCCACGUGUAGCGGUGAAAUGCGUAAGAGAUGUGGAGGAACACCAGUGGCGAACGCGACUCUCUGGUCUGUAACUGACGCUGAGGAGCGAAAGCGUGGGGAGCGAACAGGAUUAGAUACCCUGGUAGUCCACGCCGUAAACGAUGAGUGCUAAGUGUUAAGGGGGUUUCCGCCCCUUAGAGCUGCAGCUAACGCAUUAAGCACUCCGGCCUGGAGGAGGUACGGUCGCUAGACUGCAAACUCAAAUGGAAUUGACGGGGGACCGCACAUGCGAGUGGAUGCAUGGUGGUUAAUUCCGAAGGGCAACGGACACACGUUAACCCUGUU